AUGUGUAUGUGCUUUGGGAAUAAAGUAAUCUGUAAAUAUAAAAAAAGGUUUGGGCAUAAAACAAUUUUUUCCUUGAAAUCAUUGUAUUAUUUUGAAGGAAUGUUCUCUAGGCUGUAUAAAUAUAUAUAUGCAUAUCACAUAUGCAGUCGUAAUAGCUAUAUGAUAAACUGCAAUAUAUCAUCCACUUUUCAUCACCUCACCUGUUCUCUGCCUAAUGAUUCAUUUACCUUGGGACUGUGUAUAAUACUCCAGAUCUUUGAGCAGUUUCUAAUGGCUACUUCCCUUUUUUUAAAUUUUAAUAGCAUAUUCAGAAUCCUCUUACAGUGCCAAGUGGUCAAAGCAGCUGUGUUGAUCAUCAGUCCAAGACUUCAUAUCAUUCAGUUAGAAAACUUCCCUGUACUGAAGAACUCAGAAAUCUUUGAAAAAUCUAACUAUGAGAAAGUAUUGUGCGCUAACAGAGCAAAGAAGAUGGAGACAGAUUUUAAAGUGUCUUGCCAAAAACUCUCAGGAACAGGCAGUGGUAGAAAGGCCCUGCAAGAUCAGACAAAUACCAGUUUAUACUCCGACACUUCCUUGCCUAAACUCCAGAACAUUUUAGAAAAAAACUCAAUACCAGCUAGAC
rnacentral:lncRNA from 1 species